rnacentral:lncRNA from 1 species
CUCUUCAGAAUUAGCAGUAGAUUUACAGCACAAACCCCACAGCUCUCCUGCCAUGAGGAACAUGGGCCAUUGUCAGGUGAGGAAAGGACAGAGUUCACGUCCUACCUGUUUCUCAAGGAAUGUUAUCAAUAAAUGGGCAGGUAAAGGGAGGCCUGGACUAUCCCAGUUGCCAUCACCGUCAUCUCUGUCCCAGUACCCAAGGUGUUCCUGCUGCACUCCAGUACCUCUGUGCCCCUGUCCCACACAGCCCCCCGGGCCCUCUCCUGUCACCUCCUCACUGCUGCUUCCUCUUGCACUGUCCACGGCCUGUCCCAGCUGUGAUGUCCUUGGAGCAGCAGCUGCUGCAGAGCCUCCUGUGGUCAAGAAGGGCCGGCAUAUCCCAGCCCUGGCCACAGGAGAGGCACCAGCUGGGGCUCUCCAGGUUGUGGCAGCACCAGCUGCGGUGGCCAUUUGAUGCUGCCUUCUGGCUGAGGAGAGACCCCUCAGGUGAGCCGGGAGAUGUGAUUGGCUGCCCUGCUCUGGCGGGCUCCAGGAGGAGGUGAUGGCCAAUCAGGGAAGGCCUUACAUGCUGUGUGUGUGACUUUCUGCUGUGGAGAAGACUUUCGGCGCCAUGUUGGUUUGGAAGCCUCCUCGGCCCUGGAGGGCUAUUUGGGCAAUAUCCAGUGUUCCUUAUAGCUUAGGUUCCUCUCACAAGCAGGUGGAGCACAGCUCACUACGUCCUGGGAGCCUGUGGCCAGAAGAGAGAGGUGCUGCGUGGUGUGACAGCAUGACCCGCUGGCAGCAACAGCAAGUCUAUCCUGCCUUGCCAGGCGAGA